rnacentral:rRNA from 1 species
CCUACGGGAGGCAGCAGUGGGGAAUCUUGCGCAAUGGGCGAAAGCCUGACGCAGCAACGCCGCGUGCGGGAAGAAGGCUUUCGGGCUGUAAACCGCUUUCAGCAGGAACGAAAAUGACGGUACCUGCAGAAGAAGGAGCGGCCAACUAUGUGCCAGCAGCCGCGGUGAUACAUAGGCUUCAAGCGUUGUCCGGAUUUAUUGGGCGUAAAGAGUUCGUAGGCGGUCGAGUAAGUCGGGUGUGAAAAUUCUGGGCUCAACCCAGAGACGCCACCCGAUACUGCUUGACUUGAGUUCGAUAGGGGAGUGGGGAAUUCCUAGUGUAGCGGUGAAAUGCGCAGAUAUUAGGAGGAACACCGGUGGCGAAGGCGCCACUCUGGAUCGAUACUGACGCUGAGGAACGAAAGCAUGGGUAGCAAACAGGAUUAGAUACCCUGGUAGUCCAUGCCGUAAACGGUGGGCACUAGGUGUGGGUUUCUAUUAACGAAAUCCGCGCCGUCGCUAACGCAUUAAGUGCCCCGCCUGGGGAGUACGGUCGCAAGACUAAAACUCAAAGGAAUUGCGG